GUGGCUAACAGUCAAGGAGUGCUGAGCAGGUGCUUGGGACUAUGACUUCUCAACCACCACGCAGGGAGAAGGCUCUACCCCAGUCCUGGGAAACAACUUUUAUCACUAAUACUCGAAUCAUGCCCAUUUUACAGGUGGAGAGACUUGGAGGAGAGGUCAACUGGUCUGAAGAUGACACAGAUUGUAACUGGUGGAGAGACUUGGAGGAGAGGUCAACUGGUCUGAAGAUGACACAGAUUAUACCUGGUAGAGCUGAACCUCAAAGUCUUUACUUCUGCCUUGACCCACUCUGCUCUACUGCUACAUUGGCAUCCAAGGCUCUACCCCAGUCCUGGGAAACAACUUUUAUCACUAAUACUCGAAUCACAUUGAAAUGGAUACUUUAUCAGUGGACCACCCCCUGUGGACAUCAAUCUCCUCAGGUCUCAUCCAUUCAUUCAUUCUUCAAACAUGUGCCGUCAACCCCAUAGGCGCAUGGCACAAUGCUAGGUCUAUUCUGAACAGAGUCUCUAACAUGGCGUACAUCUUCAAGGACAAGGACGAUUAAGCAGCACUUACAAAUAUAUACAGAGAGAUGAAGAAAACAAGGAUGUGAAUACUUGGGAGGCUUUUGCAAUAAUUCUGGUAACAUAUAAUGAAGACCUGGACGAGGAUAAUGGCUGUUGAAAUGGAAUGAAGGCGAUGAAUGUGAAAGACACUACAGCUUAACUCAAGUGUUAGCUAAUUCUUCUGCACAGAUCAAAUAGAAAUUUUUGUAGGUGUUU